rnacentral:lncRNA from 1 species
CUCUUACUUUACUUGAUUCUUUCCUCUCUUUUUUCUAAGGAGACUGAGGAAGUUGUUCUUUUCACAUUGAGAGUGGGCCUUGCUUGUUCUUACACACUGACUUUACGAAGUGAACAGGAUGCAGAAGAUAGUAGUAGAAGAAAAAGAAGCAGACGUAUUCAGCUUAUUUCUAUUUCUAGUCCCUCGAAUCUCCCAGUAGAUGCUGUCUUAACCUAAUUUGAGCUGUCCCUCUAAAACUUGGCUUUUCUUUUCUAAGCCUUUUAUUGAAGUACUAAUGGAUGGACACAGAGAAGUGCACGUUACAGAUAUACAGCUUGAUGGAUCAUCAUAAGGUGAACACUCCCAUGAUUUUGAAAUUUAGAUGUUACUAGUAGACAGAAACCCUUCCCAAACCACUUUUAAUACUGCUUUGCCCACCGAUCAACUCCAACACACAAACGCCAGCAAUCCAAGAAGCACUAUUCAGAAGAUCACAAAACAUGGGAAAAGACAAAGCAGAAUAGAGUUGGUAGAGGAAGGUAUGAGCUGAUCUUUGUUUUGUUUGAUCUUAGUUUGAAAAAUACAGUUAGCAGCA